UACGUAGGGUGCAAGCGUUGUCCGGAAUUAUUGGGCGUAAAGAGCUCGUAGGCGGUCUGUCGCGUCGGCUGUGAAAACCCGGAGCUCAACUCCGGGCCUGCAGUCGAUACGGGCAGACUGGAGUUCGGCAGGGGAGACUGGAAUUCCUGGUGUAGCGGUGAAAUGCGCAGAUAUCAGGAAGAACACCCGUGGCUAAGGCGGCUCUCUAGUACGGUACUGACGCUGAGACGCGAAAGCGUGGGGAGCGAACAGG
rnacentral:rRNA from 1 species